rnacentral:rRNA from 1 species
UACGAAGGGGGCUAGCGUUGUUCGGAAUUACUGGGCGUAAAGCGCACGUAGGCGGAAAUUUAAGUCAGGGGUGAAAUCCCGGGGCUCAACCCCGGAACUGCCUUUGAUACUGGGUUUCUUGAGUUCGGAAGAGGUAAGUGGAAUUGCGAGUGUAGAGGUGAAAUUCGUAGAUAUUCGCAGGAACACCAGUGGCGAAGGCGGCUUACUGGUCCGAUACUGACGCUGAGGUGCGAAAGCGUGGGGAGCAACAGG